rnacentral:lncRNA from 1 species
CCAUGUUAAAGGAUCCAUAGAAGUGGAUUGGGUACUAAAAUUGAAUUUAUUUCAUUUUCGAAUCAAACAUGGAUUUACUAAAUUUGAACCCAAUCUGAUAUGGUCCACUCCAGCCCAUUUGAUCUCCGUGGUCUUUUAGAUCAUUUACUUUGUGAUCCGACUCAAUCCAAGCUUGGUAGACCAUUAAGACCCAAAUUCUUUUAAGCCUCUAAGUCAUGAUUUGAGAUUUGUGUGAAUAAUUGUUUUAAUAUAAAGAUAUGUUUAAAAUUAUUUUAAUAUCCUAAUUUAUUUUGAAAGUAAUAUUAUUUAUUAUCUGUUUUGUGUGACUAAUAAUAUUUACACCUAUAGUAAUUGAAGUAUAGUUGGCUACAUUUAAUCCGGAUUUCCAAACCCAAUUUUUUUGGAUUAUGGCUGGAUUAUAUAUAGAUCCGAUUCAAUCUGAAUGUCUCGUUGGAUAAAAAAUUUUAACCAUAGACUUGAUCUAAUCCAAUCUUUAAUUAUAUGGGGUCUAGGGUCUGAAUCCAAUAUUAAGAUCCGAUCAAAAAAUCGAAUCGGACCAAAAUUACUCAUGAUCUGGUUCAAUCCAACCUAUUUGCAUUCCUAUUUGUAAACAAGAACCCAUUGUACUGGUACAAGAGAUACUGGGCUGGGUCAAAAAAAAACCCAAUGCUAUAAAAGUUGAAAAGAAAGUUUUUGUGCACAUGCGUGGUGCAAUAAAAUUGACAU